GAUGAACGCUGGCGGCGUGCCUAAUACAUGCAAGUCGAGCGAACGGACGAGAAGCUUGCUUCUCUGAUGUUAGCGGCGGACGGGUGAGUAACACGUGGAUAACCUACCUAUAAGACUGGGAUAACUUCGGGAAACCGGAGCUAAUACCGGAUAAUAUUUUGAACCGCAUGGUUCAAAAGUGAAAGACGGUCUUGCUGUCACUUAUAGAUGGAUCCGCGCUGCAUUAGCUAGUUGGUAAGGUAACGGCUUACCAAGGCAACGAUGCAUAGCCGACCUGAGAGGGUGAUAGGCCACACUGGAACUGAGACACGGUCCAGACUCCUACGGGAGGCAGCAGUAGGGAAUCUUCCGCAAUGGGCGAAAGCCUGACGGAGCAACGCCGCGUGAGUGAUGAAGGUCUUCGGAUCGUAAAACUCUGUUAUUAGGGAAGAACAUAUGUGUAAGUAACUGUGCACAUCUUGACGGUACCUAAUCAGAAAGCCACGGCUAACUACGU
rnacentral:rRNA from 1 species